rnacentral:rRNA from 1 species
AACGAACGCUGGCGGCAUGCCUAACACAUGCAAGUCGAACGAGACCUUCGGGUCUAGUGGCGCACGGGUGCGUAACGCGUGGGAACCUGCCCUUAGGUUCGGAAUAACUCCCCGAAAGGGGUGCUAAUACCGGAUAAUGUCUUCGGACCAAAGAUUUAUCGCCUUUGGAUGGGCCCGCGUUGGAUUAGCUAGUUGGUAGGGUAAAAGCCUACCAAGGCGACGAUCCAUAGCUGGUCUGAGAGGAUGAUCAGCCACACUGGGACUGAGACACGGCCCAGACCCCUACGGGAGGGAGGAGUGGGGAAUAUGGGACAGGGGGCGAAAGCCGGAUCCAGCAAGGGCGGGGGAGGGAUGAAGGCCUUUGGGUUGUAAAGCUUUUUUACCCGGGAAGAAAAGGACAGUCCCGGGAGAAUGAGCCCCGGCUAACCCCGU